ensembl:lncRNA
AUGUCAUUACAAACUGAAGUUCAGUUGGUAUCUAAAACCCAGCUAUGUCCUUCAGGGCCAAAUACAGUUCUGUGGCCGAUUCCCAGUCUUGUGGCUGCUGCAGUGUGUUUUGUUGUACAGCCUGUUGUAAAUAUUCCCCAAUGUUUGGAUCACCACCAGCUAACAGAGUGGAUAAAGAGUAACAAGAGGUGCUGGCGCUGCGCACGGUCACACCAGGCAGCCCAGUGUAAUCUGAGGAAGACGUGCAGCCUCUGCCAAGGGAAGCACCUGCAGGUACUGCAUGAUGUCAACGUUAGAACACUGAAAGGGUCACCAACAACAGCGAUGGUGAGCGGUGACUCGAAGGUGGCGACCGACGUCCUGUAUCUAGACAGACCCACUGAAGGCUGCAGAGUCCUUCUAAAGAUCGUCAAAGUCUGCAUUCAUUAUGGCAAGCGAACAAUCAGCACUUAUGCCGUCUUGGAUGACGGGUCAGAGAGGACAAUGCUUCUGCCAGAGGCUGCCGAGAAGUUAGGCAUGCAAGGGGUCACAGAGGAUGUCCCACUGCGCACGAUUAGGCAGGACGUGCAGACUCUCAGAGGUGAGUCAGUAUCGUUCUCUGUUUCCUCUCCCUCAAGGCCCAGGACCAGGUUCAAGAUUGCUGGGGCCUUCACUGCUGCACGCAUCGGACUUGCAGGCCACACUUAUCCCAUGGAGCAACUCAGAGAAAGGUAUAAACACCUGAUUGGCCUUCCGAUCCACACCUUGAUAAAUGUGAAACCCUUGCUACUCAUUGGCAGUGACCAUCCCCAUCUGGUUACCCCCGUUGAACCAGUCGGGCUGGGACCUCCAGGAGGGCCUGCUGCUAUUCGCACCAGGCUAGGUUGGGCGCUACAAGGGCCAGCAAGUAUAGUCGGCCAGCUUGCCCAACCACAGCAGUGCUUGCUGACAACUGUGGCACCUCAGGUCAGUGAGUUAAUGAAACAUGUAGAGAAACUAUGGCAGGUCGACAUCGUUCCGUUCCGAAACGAGAAGGUUGUUACUCGUUCAAGGCAAGACCAAGAGGCCAUACGCAUUCUGGAGACCAGAACUGUCCGAGUAGAGGUUGAGGGCAUACUUCGCUAUGCCACCCCACUGCUUCGCCGGAAGGGGAUGCCUCUACUGCAGGCCACUAAAGACGCCGUCAUGCCAAGUCUACGGGGUGUGGAGAGAAGGCUGGCUAAAGACCCAGAACGAGCUGAAGCCUACAAGGUGGAGAUGGAGAAGCUUAUCAAGGCUGGCUCCAUCGUUAAGUGUGGCUCUGAGACACCUGCGACAGAAGGUCAGGAGGCGUGGUACAUCCCCCAUCACAUGGUGAGCCAUAAUGGCAAGAACCGCUUGGUUUUCAACUGCUCAUUUCAGUACAGAGGACAGAACUUGAACGACUACCUGCUGCCCCUGCCCACCUUAGGUGCGUCGCUUCUGGGAGUUCUAUUACGCUUCAGAGAGCAUGCAGUUGUAGUGAGUGGGGACAUUAAAGGCAUGUUCCACCAGGUUCGUCUCUUACCAGAAGAUUGUGCCCUGCUCAGAUUUGUCUGGCGUGACAUCAGUGACGAGAGCCCUCCAGCAGUCUAUGAGUGGCGGGUGCUCCCGUUCGGAACCACGUGUAGCCCCUGCUGUGCCACAUUCGCCCUGCAGCGUCACGUCAUGGACAACAGCCAGCUAGGUGAUGGCGUGAGACUCUCAGUCGAAAGGUGUUUUUAUGUGGACAACUGCCUUCAGAGUUUCCCUACCGUGGGAGAGGCGAGGAACCUUGUCGACAAGUUACGGGCCAUCCUAGCCCCAGCAGGGUUUGACCUACGACAGUGGGCCAGCAAUGAACGUGACGUCAUCAGUCAUUUACCAGAAGAGAGCUGCUCUGCUAGUGUGGAGCUAUGGCUGGCCCAGAACAAGGUAGAUACCCCAGAAUCUACCCUGGGAUUGAGCUGGCUAUUCCACACAGAUGUCCUAGGCUACAAGCAUCGUCAAGUUCCAUAUGCAGUUCCCACGAUGCGCAAUAUCUACAAGGUCCUGGCCAGCCAGUACGACCCCCUAGGGUUCAUCUUACCCUACACAACCAGAGCGAAGGUAAUCAUCCGCCAUCUUUGGGACAAGCAAAGGGGUUGGGAUGACCCACAUCUACCUCAGGAGCUCAUGCAGCAGUGGACAGCCUGGGAGGAAGAGUUGCAGUUUCUGCCUGAAGUUACUCUUCCUCGACCAUAUGUGCCUAAGCAAGUGGACACCUUCAGCUGUCAGAGAGAGGUACACAUAUUUUGUGAUGCCUCUGAGGAAGCUUAUGGCUCAGUAGCUUACCUCCGGACCGCUGGCAGAAAUGGAGAAGUGCAUCUGUCGUUCUUGGUGGCCCGGUCCAGGGUUGCCCCCAAGCGGUUUCACUCUAUGCCCAGAUUGGAGCUCUGUGCUGCACUCACUGGGGCCCAGCUCUCACAAGUGCUGGAAAGGGAGCUCACCCUUAGAAUCGACCAGACGGUCCUAUGGUCUGAUUCUACAACAGUGCUGACAUGGCUGGGGUCUGAAUCCUGCCGAUUCAAGGUCUUCGUUGGCACUCGUGUAGCCAAGAUACAAGAGCUGACAGACAGGCACUCCUGGAGAUACGUCGACUCUGGAAGGAAUCCAGCCGAUGACGUGACACGUGGGAAGAAGCUGAAGGAGCUCGCUGUACCAAAUAGAUGA